GACGUUCUUCAAGGUGCUGCAUGGUUGUCGUCAGCUCGUGCCGUGAGGUGUCGGGUUAAGUCCCAUAACGAGCGCAACCCUUAUCGUUAGUUGCCAGCGGGUCAUGCCGGGGACUCUAGCGAGACUGCCACCGUAAGGUGUGAGGAAGGUGGGGAUGACGUCAAAUCAGCACGGCCCUUAUGUCCAGGGCUACACACGUGUUACAAUGGCCAAUACAAAGGGCAGCUACCGGGUGACCGGAUGCUAAUCUCUAAAGUUGGUCUCAGUUCGGAUCGAAGUCUGCAACCCGACUUCGUGAAGCUGGAUUCGCUAGUAAUCGCAUAUCAGCCAUGAUGCGGUGAAUACGUUCCCGGGCCUUGUACACACCGC
rnacentral:rRNA from 1 species